rnacentral:ncRNA from 2 species
CCCGCCGAGGGGCGCUGCAAGCCCGGCCCCGCAAGGGGGCAAGGGAUCAGGCUCGGCGAAGGUUCCCGUACAACCGCGCCCGUUAACU